UUCUCCAUUGACUUUGCUUAUGGGAAGCCAGCAGGGAAAGUCGCAAAUGUUGGUCACAUGACUGGGAUGCUGCAGCCGUCAUAAGUGUGAGCCGGUUGCCAAGUGCCCAGAUUGCAAUCAUGUGACCGUGGGAGUGCUGGGAUGGCUGGAACUUCAAGGACGGUCAAGUGCCUCUUGUUCGGCGCCAUUGUAACUUUGAACUGUUGCUGAAUGAGUGGUGGUUAAUCGAAGACCACGUGUAUUCAGUCCACAUUCAUUCAGCACCCAGUCAUUCGUGACCUUCUUGUUUUACCCCUCACACUUCUUAAGUACCUCCUUUCCACUUUAGUCAACUUGUAUGUUUCUCCUGACACACCCAGCUCUCCCUUUCCAGAAAUAGCCCUUUGGAGUCUGUUUUUCAGUGGUUUGUGGGUGUUAAGGAUAGGGAUAAGAGCAGUUACUCCAUUUCAAGGAGAAAAAGAGGCCAAACCAGCUCCAAAUCCAGUAAGCCUUUUUGGGUGGGAAUGACCCCACCACCACUCUCAGUGCCCCAUUAACUUUGAACAUAAAAUGGAUACAUUGUGUUUCUGAAAUUCAGUUACUGAAUUUUAGGCCUUGAUCUUGGGGUGCUGAGGAGUCUGUGAACAUUGGCUACCCCUGGAUCUGUAUUGGAAGUUCUUAUUGUUUGAGUAGCUGCUGAAGAGGCUGCAUCCAGGAGGCCACAGGCUCUGCUGGCUCCUUGAAAAAAGUCUUGUGGGUCAUCUUUCUUGACCCUCUGAUUGGAUUUGCCUAUUGCAGAAAGUCCAAGCUGGUUUGCUUCUUUGUGGCUUAAUCUGUUGAGUCAUUUGUGGCUUGGCACAGUCUGUGGACCUGACCCAUCUGACUUUGCUAAACAGACUGUGGCUUUGUAGAAUGUAUGAACCCGGUGUCUGGUUUUCUGUCAUGCAGCCUGUUGCAGUACACGUUCGUGGGGAAUAUAUUUAUGGUUCCGGAUGACCCCUUAGGGCGAAGUGGCCCUACCUUGGCAGACUUCCUGAAGAAAAAAACGAGAAUCAAGAGUUCCGAUUGUCACUCCUUCAGUGGCCAGCCAACCUCUGUAUCCACACCAGCACGCCCGGUCUCGCAGACAGAGGUCCUUCACCUCCGGGACAGGAGACCUCCUGCUGGCUCAUCUGGGGACCACAGGAGAGGUCGGCAAGACAGCCCUGUCAAGAAGGAGAAAUUUCGCUCUACAGAAGAGACUGAGUGGCUGAGGAGCAAACUUUUGGAGAUUUUUGAGGGACAAGACAGAAAAGUGGACUUCGUGCUCAUCAGAGAACCUUGCUGCCAAGAUCUUAACAA